AUUGAACGCUGGCGGCAGGCCUAACACAUGCAAGUCGAACGAGUGGCGGACGGGAGAGUAAUGUCUGGGAAAAUGCCUGAUGGCGGGGGAUAACUACUGGAAACGGUAGCUAAUACCGCAUACUAUCGGAUGUGCCCAGAUGGGAGUAGCUAGUAGGUGGGGGAAAGGCUCACCUAGGCGACGCUCCCUAGCUGGUCUGAGAGGAUGACACGCCACACUGGAACUGGGACCCGGUCCGGACGCCUGCGGGGGGCAGCAGUGGGGAAUAUUGCACAAGGGGCGCAAGCCUGAUGCAGCCAUGCCGCGUGGAUGAAGAAGUCCUUCGGGUGUGAAAGUACUUUCAGCGGGGAGGCGUUACCCGCAGAAGAAGCACCGGCUAACUACGUGCCAGCAGCCGCGGUAAUUC
rnacentral:rRNA from 1 species